AGCAACAAAACCGGACUACAGUCGCGGUCCUUUCUGAGGCCUAGAUGUUCAGCUUUUCUUCGGUUAAAUGAGAUGCUAUAGGUCUUCGUGACAUCAGAAAACCACAUUUCCGAGUCCCCUGGCCUCUGGCUCCUGCGUGGGUUUGACCGAUUGGAGGCACUGGUGGAGGAGGCGAUCACAGCAGUGAAGACAGAAGCCUGGCUAUAUGGUUGCCUUGGAGAUCCCAGAGUUUCCCACCCAGCCCACGCCUGACCUCUCAUCUCCCCCACGACGCUCAGAUGGCCCCGGGAAAUCCUGGAGAGAACCUGCCAAGAGCCGUGGCCAAGGUAACAGAUCUGCCUCCUUAUCUCUAUGCCGGUCAACUUCCCCCAAUUCUUUCCAAGAGGAAAACGAACCAGGCGGCCGGGCUCAUCAAAACUGCCUGACGAAGGCCAACUGGUGAGGAGGAGAGAGGCAGGCCAGCUUGGCUGUGUGGGUCACCUCCUCCCUAACUCAGCCGCACAGCCGCCAGGCCAAGCCCAGGCAGAGGAAGGGACAGCCUAUUCCUCAUUUUCCUCGAAGGCUGCCUGUCUUUCCAGCACCACACCAGCUAAGUCACCUCUCCGCACUCAGACUCUCAAGUGCCCUUUUGUCAUUGUCCCAGUUCCGCUCUGCCCUGGCCUUCAGAGUCAGGCGGGCAAGACUGAGAGGGUUUUCUUGAGCUGAACAUUAAUUCAAAUACUCCAGAUGAGCACUUCAAGCAGCUGAUACAGUGAAGUACUGUGCUUCACGUCUAGAAUGUUCUUUAUCAUCCCUACUUCACCACCGGCCACUUUGUGCUUCAUUGGAGGCUUUUACCGUGUUGUUUCCUGUGUGGAAGCUGUCACCUACUUACACUUUAAAUGACCAC